UCACCGGUCCCCCACCAUCGAGUCCGACACACCUCACAUGGGCCUCAGCUUACCACCGUGACACUUCGGUUGACGAGUUCAGGCAGAUCGCACAGGACGCCCAGGACACUUUGAACUUGCGCAACAUGGAUAGUACGGAGGGAAAAUCCAUGGUAAAACGUAUUUUUAAUACUGCCAUUAAAGGGCUUAGGCGUCUUGGUUGCAGCCGCCAUAAUGAUGUUGUCAGUCGAGCAUUCGACAUGCCGGAGGCACCGUCGAACAGACCGAGUAUGGUACGUGUGAGCCAGCCAUCCGCCACACCGACCGUACCAGUUCCCUCUACCUCGCAUACAUCUAAUCCACGACGCGACUCAUCUCUACUUGAACGAUCACAGUCCGCACACAUAUCUCAACGCCAUGGUGCCACACAGGAGGACGAUCAUUUUCCGUCAUAUCCAUCUGGACAACGAUUCUCCUACACAGAAGGCGAAUAUUCGCAAAGAUUCAACACUCAGGUAU